rnacentral:rRNA from 1 species
UGAGGAACAUGACCUUCGGCGGGGGAUAGCCGGCCCAACGGCCGGGUAAUACCGCGUACGACCACAUGGGGACAUCCCUGAGUGGUGAAAGCAGCAAUGCGCCGAUGGAGUGCCUCGCGGCCUAUCAGCUAGUUGGUGAGGUAACGGCUCACCAAGGCAACGACGGGUANCUGGUCUGAGAGGAUGGCCAGCCACAUUGGGACUGAGACGACCGGCCCAGACCUCGUAACCGGGGA